rnacentral:rRNA from 1 species
AUCUAUGGCCAUGCCACCCUGAACGUGCCCGAUCUCGUCUGAUCUUGGAAGCUAAGCAGGGUCGGGCCUGGUUAGUACUUGGAUGGGAGACCACUUAGGAAUACCAGGUGCUGUAGGUG